CAACUCGACUGCAUGAAGCUGGAAUCGCUAGUAAUCGCGAAUCAGAAUGUCGCGGUGAAUACGUUCCCGGGUCUUGUACACACCGCCCGUCACACCAUGGGAGUCGGAAAUGCCCGAAGUCUGUGACCCAACCUUAGGGAGGGAGCAGCCGAAGGCAGGUCGGAUGACUGGGGUGAAGUCGUAACAAGGUAAC
rnacentral:rRNA from 1 species